CGCUGACGCAGCAUUAAACUGAGUUAAAUGAACUGUGGCGUGGCGGGGGAGUCUAAUCCUUCUCAAAGUCACAUUCAAGCCUUUCAUAAAUGAGUUGCGUUCAUGCAGGCCAACCAUUCAUUGCUGAAAUAAGAACCCACCUUGGUGAUUGAAACGACUAUACUAAAAGCUGUGGAAGAGCUCGAUGGCUCGGAGGACAUCAAACUUGCGAGCCAUGAGGAACUUGACGGCCAAUUCCCUGGACAGCGGUGACACUCCAUGCUGACUGGUCCACUUGUUGAUUUCCUCCAGAAACUGCCUGGUAGCCUGAAACAGACCCAGAUGUGGUCACAAACUCCCAUAAAUCGAAGGGUCAAACAGGAAGGAAGCGAAACUGGGCUUUAAACUUGAAACAUCCUCAGAGAAAUGUGUCAUCUGCACACUUUUCAGAAUAUUCGACACAAUUUGAUGGCCUGGUAUGACCUCUACGGCAGCAUUUCAUGUGCUGUUGUAUAGUCUGGAGGACAAUGGGAGUCGUGUGAGCGUGUAUGCAGAAUGUACAUAGACGGGGAGGUACAAAUUAAAAUGCGUGAACUCUAAUUUGUGCAGCCAACCAAGGAAGCCAACCAAGCAGUUUGUGGAUGCUGUGAAGGGACAAAGAAAAUGUACGGUGUUACGGUCGAGCUUAAAAAAAAAAAAAAAAACUGGUAAAACUGGAGAGUGACGCAUGUAAGCGGCAGCAUGGGAUAUAGUGGGUGUGUAAAUCGGCAUUUCUCUAGUGGAAUUCACAAGGAAGAUGACGACUUAAGGCAUCAGCCAGAUUUCGACGACACUGCCUUUUAAGGGGAGCAUGCCAACUCCAGGCAGUGACCCUCUGUUCCUGGAGAAGCCAGUCUUGUUUGGUUUUUCUGCACUAGGGGCCAUAUCCGCCAGAGAGGAAUUCGAGGAUGAACCGGUUUGUUUUCAUGAUAGCACACCGGACUGCAGUGGAAGACUCACUGUGGAGGAGUGACUUAUUUAGUUCCUGGAGGAUGCAUAAAUAUUUGCUUGACUUGCUCCACUUCUGAUGCAGCAGGAGAUUUUUUUUCCUCAAAGUUCUCGAUUAUUCAUUUAAAAACACUUAAUUCUGGCUUAAACUGCCUGACAUUAAUCUAAAUAGACUGAGAUGUCCGUGCAAGUACAGAAUUAGUCUGUAUCAGAUUAAAAGUCUUUACUUUUUCCAUCUUCACUGGUUCAGCUGUCCUUAUUUCGUCAGUUUUCAGUUCUGAAAUUCUGUGUGAGACAUUUCAAGCAAGUGGUUUCUGCCCAUCCAAUACACAGCUGACAUUACAUAAUCUUGUUUGCUGUCACGAUGGUUGGGGUUGUUUAUUGCUGGAGUUGACGAUGACAGUCAAUAACUGACUGAUUAGGUUCACUGUGGUAGGAAACUGCUUUGCUGGGAGCUAGUGGAUGAAGUUGUGGUCAGUUCUUAAACCAAGUGAUUCACAAUAAUUUUGUGUUAGCACUGACAGAUGUAGUGUUGCACAACUCUAAUUUUCACAACAAUGCAAUAUGACACAUUGCAUGCAGUGGAACUGUUAACUGAAAGUCAUGUAUAUACCAUGGACUUGGGCUGCAAUGAUUAUCGAUUAAUUUUUUGGUCUAUAAAACAUCAGAAAACAUUCAGAAUAAAAAAGGUACAUAAUACUCUACCUUCCGGUAUUUCUACUUUCUACACUCAUUAUUCUGUACACCUCUAUUUUCUGUUUCUCAGUAUUUAUCACCAAUGUACAUUUUUAGAAAUUUUGCCACCCACAACCUUGACGCUGUGCUCCGUCCCACUAUGUUCUAUUGAGGCUUUUUCUGCCUACAGCUACCCACAGUAUUGGUACAACGGAUCCUUGCAACAAACAGAUUCUGAAAGACAGAUACAGUCGUUAUCAUACAUAAUGUUCAAUUUAUGGGUGGGCGAUAUCACAAUCUAUGCAAUGACUUGUCAGCUAUUAAAGAUUUGCUAUAUUCUCAAAUUGAAAAAAAAAUAUUGAGGUAGCUAUCACUUUAAUAUCUCUGGUUGUCUUAAGCCAUUGCAGGCAAUACUUUAAAUCAAUGUGCAGGACUACUUUAUGGCAGUUUUGUAAUUACAGGACUUCUGCAAAAUGUGAUGAAAUAUCUUGAUUUUAGUACUGCAACUAAUGAUAACUUUCUGUAUCAAUUAAUUUGCAAAUGAUCUUCCUGAUUAAAUGUUUUGUCGAUAAAAUGUGAAAAUAAUGAAAAAUGUCUAUCACAUUUUCCUUGUGCCCAAUGUGAAGUCUGCCAAUUGCUUGUUUUGUCUGACCAAUGGUUCAAAACCCCAAAGAUAACCAGCAAAACCAGAAAUUAUUCUUGUUUGAGAUGCUGGAACCUGUGAAUUUUUUGGUAUGUUUGCUUAAAAGAAUUACUU